rnacentral:sRNA from 1 species
UUGAUUAUUGUUACGCCCCAUGUU